UACGGAGGAGGCAAGCGUUAUCCGGAAUUAUUGGGCGUAAAGCGUCCGUAGGUGGUUUAGUAAGUCUGCUGUUAAAGCGCGGGGCUUAACUCCGUAUCGGCAGUGGAAACUACUAGACUAGAGUGUGGUAGGGGUAGAGGGAAUUCCCAGUGUAGCGGUGAAAUGCGUAGAUAUUGGGAAGAACACCGGUGGCGAAGGCGCUCUACUGGGCCAUAACUGACACUGAUGGACGAAAGCUAGGGGAGUGAACGGG
rnacentral:rRNA from 1 species